CAAUUAUUUUUACAAUACAUUAUUAGAUGAGUCCAUAGUCAUUAAUAAUACAAAUUAAUAAGAAGAAAAAUAGUUUACAACAUAUUGCAACUAAUUUUAAAAUAACACAAAUUACAACAAUAAUAUAAUUCAAAUAAAAUUAAUUAGUUCAAUAAAAUAAUAAAUCAAUUAUAGGAUAGUUCUUGCAUAAGGCUUGAAAUUUGAAGUGAGGAAACAAGUCAGAUUUUUGCAUCCAUGCAAACUUUAAGAUUUGCCACAACAAAAUAUCAAUAUUAGCAAUAUCAAAAUAUAAUAUCAUAGCAAAAAUAGCAAAAUAAAAA
rnacentral:misc_RNA from 1 species